rnacentral:rRNA from 1 species
CAGUCGCCGCGGGAAUACGGAGGGUGCAAGCGUUAAUCGGAAUUACUGGGCGUAAAGCGUGCGUAGGCGGUUCGUUAAGUCUGUUGUGAAAGCCUGGAGCUCAACUCCAGAAUUGCCUUUAAGACUGCGAGACUUGAACGUCGGAGAGGUAAGUGGAAUUCCGAGUGUAGAUGUGAAAUUCGUAGAUAUUCGGAAGAACACCAGUGGCGAAGGCGGCUCACUGGACGACUGUUGACGCUGAGGUGCGAAAGCGUGGGGAGCAAACAGGAUUAGAUACCCCCGUAGUCCCUGUCUCUUAUAC